rnacentral:tRNA from 1 species
GCCGUGAUAGCUCAGUAGGUAGAGCAUCUGGCUUUUAACCAGGGGGUUCGCCGGUUCGAUCCCGGCUCGCGGCA